rnacentral:rRNA from 1 species
AAACCGUUCAGGGGUAAACCUGAGGAACCCGAAAGAUCGAAUGGGGAGAUUCAGCGUCAGCGGCGUUGGCUCAGCGGUGAUCGGCGAUGCCUCGGACUACGGUUCGGGGCACGCCGUCGCUCGUCGUGUCCGGCGUCGUCGUCGUGCACUUCUCCCCUAGUAGAACGUCGCGACCCGUUGGGUGUCGGUCUACGGUCCGGGUGGUAGACUGCCGCGUCGCUUCGGCGUACGUGGCAGACCCCCGGUUUCCCGGCCGGCUGCUCGGCGGUAUCUGAGACGGUAUCCGGCCGCACAUUCGAAUUGCGUCAGGCCCGCCGCAAGCGCGGCCAGUGUCACUGGAGGUACGGACCUGGCGCCGUCCCCGUGCCUGGUCAGCUGUUGGCCGGCGGUGUCCUCCGACGGGCAAUAGUGGGUACCGGUCCGCGACGCUACUGCUUUGGGUACUCUCAGGACCCGUCUUGAAACACGGACCAAGGAGUCUAACAUGUGCGCGAGUCAUUGGGAAUGAAAAACCUAAAGGCGCAAUGAAAGUGAAGGUCGACCAAGCGUCGAUCGAGGGAGGAUGGGCCGCGUUACGACGCGGCUCCGCACUCCCGGGGCGUCUCGUUCUCAUUGCGAGAAGAGGCGCACCCAGAGCGUACACGUUGGGACCCGAAAGAUGGUGAACUAUGCCUGGUCAGGACGAAGUCAGGGGAAACCCUGAUGGAGGUCCGUAGCGAUUCUGACGUGCAAAUCGAUCGUCGGAACUGGGUAUAGGGGCGAAAGACUAAUCGA